rnacentral:tRNA from 1 species
GCCCGGGUGGCGAAAUGGUAGACGCAGCGGAUUCAAAAUCCGCCGGUUAACAGCCGUGAGGGUUCGAAUCCCUCUCCGGGCACCA